rnacentral:rRNA from 1 species
CCGGGAGGCACUGCCUGCCCAAUGAAAUUUUAACCUUUAAUGGCCGCAGUAUCCUGACUGUGCAAAGGUAGCAUAAUCACUUGUCCUUUAAAUAAGGACUAGUAUGAACGGCAAGACGAGAGCUAAACUGUCUCUUUUAUUUAGUCAAUGAAACUGACCUUUCGGUGCAAAGGCCGAAAUCUACCAAUAAGACGAGAAGACCCUAUGGAACUUAAAACACACAUCCACCUUACUAGCAUAUUUAGCCAACAUAAGACUGGCCAAGCUGUUUUUGGUUGGGGCAACCACGGAGAACAACCAUCCUCCGAGCACUCGGCUAAGUUUACACAACAAAGCCUUAUAACAGUACCCACUGACCCAAUAUAAUUGAUCAACGAACCAAGCUACCCUAGGGAUAACAGCGCAAUCUUCUCCGAGAGUUCAUAUUAACGAGAAGGUUUACGACCUCGAUGUUGGAUCAGGAUACCCAGACAGUGCAGCCGCCGUCAAAGGUUUGUUUGUUCAACAAUUAAAAUCCUACGUGAUCUGAGUUAAACCGG